rnacentral:rRNA from 1 species
UACGUAGGGUGCAAGCGUUGUCCGGAAUUAUUGGGCGUAAAGAGCGUGUAGGCGGCCAGGUAGGUCUGCUGUGAAAACUCGAGGCUCAACCUCGAGACGUCGGCGGAAACCAUCUGGCUAGAGUCCGGAAGAGGAGAGUGGAAUUCCUGGUGUAGCGGUGAAAUGCGCAGAUAUCAGGAAGAACACCCGUGGCGAAGGCGGCUCUCUGGGACGGUACUGACGCUGAGACGCGAAAGCGUGGGGAGCAAACAGG